rnacentral:lncRNA from 1 species
AUGCGCACGUGCACGCGCGUGGGUUUGGCAUGCACGCACGCACGCACGCACGCAGAGCGGAGCAGAUGCACAAUCCCGAUGUCCCUCUGGAGGACAAUGUCCGCGCUGGAACACCACACACCGCUGGGAAUACUCCUCCGUCCUCUGUCGGUGUGUGCGGGUUUCUGGCCUCUGUGCGCCCCCUGCCAUCCACUGCCGCUACAGGCUGCUUCUGCCGCUCACUUUGGAGCACUUGUUGAUGCUCAACUGAAUGCACUUAACACUGUACAGGUGGAACACACAGCUUUGAUUUAAUUAGAUAUUAUUGGUAGAGACAUUGUCAGUCUGUCCUGACUUUUAGAGGAUAAAACCCGGUUAUUUUCCGGGUUAUUUCGUUGACUAAAUGAACACAGUGAGGGAAACCACAGGACCCUGAACACAAACAAUAACUCUGUGUUUCCUCUGUGCAAUAAAGUUUUAUUUUGACUCUCAGAGGUGAUAUUGACCAGAAUAUAAAGACAGCAGCAGAAUGUGUUGUCUCAUGGCCUACACUGUAAAAAGCAAAUGUUCUUUUUACUGUGAAAAACCGGCAGCUGUGGUUUCCAGAACUUUACUGUAAUAAAUGCAGCAGAACUUUUAUUAUCAUUAUUAUGGUAAAACAAUAUUAGUAUUCAGUAUUUACCAUCAAAAGAAACAGUUUUUCUAUAUGAAAAUAAUAAAGCAAUAUAAAUGCUAUGACGGUGGUUUUUCUGUGAAAUUUACAGUCUGUAAUGUUAAAAAACGACUUUAUUCUGUCUACAUUACCGUAUAAAUCAAGGUUUUGCCAUUAGAUAUCACAGUGUUUUACUGUUACAGAAGCUUUUACCUGUGUAGAGUCACUCUUUUGUCACUGUUUGAGACAUUUUUCUUUACAGUGUACUAAUAAUACACCCUGGAAAAUAUCCAAUAAAUGUCUGUAAGGAGGCACAUAAAUACAUAUUUUCUCAUUAAAUUGGUUGACUGGUUGAAUAUGGAGUUAUUCCACAAACCACCAGUUGUUUUUCACUGGGCGUUUUUAUUAAUGUCAGAUAAGAUGAACUCACACAAGCUAAUGCAUGAUAGCGACUUCACCCUGCAGCAGAAAGAAAGGGAAGGUUCCCCUCAAUCAUACAGUCUAUAACAUUUGUAUAACACAGAACUGGCAACGUUUCUCUGUUCAUGUAGGUUUAACAUUUAGGAAGCUGG